rnacentral:rRNA from 1 species
CGGCAACAGCUCAAAUUUGAAAUCUGGCCCUAGGCCCGAGUUGUAAUUUGCAGAGGAUGCUUUUGGUGAGGUACCUUCCGAGUCCCUUGGAACAGGGCGCCAUAGAGGGUGAGAGCCCCGUCUGGUUGGAUACCGAACCUCUGUAAAGCUCCUUCGAC